UACACACCGCCCGUCACACCAUGGGAGUUGGCUUUACCUGAAGGCGGUGCGCCAACCCGCAAGGGAGGCAGCCGACCACGGUAGGGUCAGCGACUGGGGUG
rnacentral:rRNA from 1 species